ACUUCUCUCCUGGGGGCCAAACUGGGAAGGAAAGGCUAAGCCACGGGGCUUCCUGCUUCGUGCUUGUGGGUUUCUGGGGUCCUACUAACCACUCCUCUAAUCGAAUGUCCUGAAGCCCAGCGACUCGACGGAGAGGCCAAAGGUGCGAGACCACUAGCCAAACAGGCUUCUAGUCCUCACCUCCCGGCAAUUCGCUGUGUGAAGGUGGGCGAGUCAUGUCCCAUCUCUCGAGUCCCCAUCUUAGAGCCGGUCCCCAGCAGACCUUUAAGCUUCCUUCCUACUCUGCCAUAUGGCUCUGAGCUCCGGUGCAAAGGCGGCUGGGCAGUGGGUCGCGCGGACCUUGCCCAGAGUGGUCUGUCUGGGCCGCGCACUGCUGGCUUAGCUGCCUUUUCACUCUCGGGACUCAACAGUGGACAUUGCACCUGGGGAAGAAAUGGCCGCGCGGAAGUUAUUUAAGGACUCUUCCUGGAAGGAGUCACCUGAGCGGACCUGAAUUCCAUCUGAGGACGGAGGACAGAUUCCGGGCCCUGACCCUGGCCCUGCUCUUCGCGCAGAUCCAGGACUGGCUAUCAGUCGCUCUGAGGAUGCGACCUACUUGUCGCCAGCUUCCACUUGGUUCCGCGCCAGGACAGGUUUUACUUUCAUUUCUCCCGCGCGCGCCUCCGACUGCUGGGGAGGUCAAGGACAGCUAGGCGUCGGCCCACGGCCAGGGAAGGUCCCGUGGUCUGGACUCGUUCCUUCCAGUCUCCACCAGUCCUGGGGGGUGGGGCGCGGCGGGGGUGUUCGUUCUCCAGAGAACUCUGCGACUGUACCUCGCUGCCACCUCGCUGCCUCCUCGCUGCCCUUUACAAAAGCUCGUGAUUCCGUGGGGGAAACUUGAGCUGUGGCUCUGCCAGGAGGAUCGCGAAGCAAGUGCCCUUGGUUCAAACUCCUCUUUGAGCUGCAGGCAGCUUCAAAAAGGAAAGCAAGCCCAGGAGUGUAGGGAGACUCAGAGGCUAGGCUCUGCCAGCCUCGGGUGCCUAUGCCAGCAACCUCUUGGCUGUGACAAGAAUUCCCACCUGAGAGUCUUGGCAUGCACUUUAUCAGCCUGGUGCACUUUGCCGCUCUGGCACUUAGAGAUCUGUCACUUGAGAACCAAGUCAAUUCUUUAAGUAAAAUCUUGGAUUGGCAGCUCAAAGUAUUUUCCUAGAAAGCCCCUAUCUUGGAGUGAGUGAGUGUGUGCGCGAGCGCGCACCCCGCUUGCAUGGGUGAGUAGCAGGGGCUAGAGUGCUCCCCAAAGCUUCGUGGGUUUAAGUCGAAAAAAGAUAAGGAGUUUGUUAAAUCUGGGCAUCUAUGUUUUUUCUCGUGAAAUCUCGAGUUUGUUUAAUUAAUCAUCGUUAACGACAAAAAAAAAUCACUAGAAUGCAUUUCUGGUUCAGUGGUUCUAUGGAGAAGGAAAUGCUGCAGUGGGAGUUCUGAUCCUGGCAAUUUAUUAACAUAAGUUGCAUCCAUUCAAGUGGCAGUGAUUGUAGAUUCACGUUGAGCAAGGACAGUACAAGGAAGGAAGGAAGUGAAGGAAGAAACAUCUUUAAAUUUCUGGCAAGAAAAGAGAAAAGAAAAAGAAAAAAAAAUCCUUGUUAAUGAAGAUCUACUUUUUUUGUGUGCUCCAGAAUUUCAAAAGGUCAGAUUACAAAUAAACCUCCAAACCACUGUAAUAAAUGUGUACAUCCUGACAUUAGGGAGACACACAUACACAUAUGCUAAAGGGUUUUUGCGUAAUGGUGUUUCAACUUCUUCACAUUCCAAUUGAAUGAUUUUUAGGCCCUAUAUCCAAGCCUGAUUCUUAGUAAAGUUUGGAGUUUAAAAAAAUAUGUGGUAGUGGUUUCUCAGCUAGCACUGUGGACACAGUUCUUAAAGCCAGAGUGGCCAUACUCAGGUCUUUCAGAGAAGCAUUGAAAAAUAAUAAAUAUCAAUGAUAUUAAUAAGAAUAACUAAAAUGUGAGUAGCUAAGUGCAUUGCAUAAUUAUCUCAGAUGCCUCCUUUAUCAAACAGGAAAUUUUAUGAUGCAUUUAUUAUUAAUAUAGUUCAAAAUGUCUUUUAAGCUGAGGACUUGUUUACAAAGUUCACUUGAAAACAAAGUUCAAGAUGCAUCCUGAAGUCAUAACACAAAGUGAUUUAGAGAAAGAACACAAUCAGCCUUGUGGAUUUGAUCACUUACAAGGAGAAGUAAAGCAGGAUACAAAGCCCAGGGCACUUUUUUGGGAUCUCUGACUUCUCUAAGGACCUAAUAAAAAUAUAGAUCCUUUCCAGAAAAAUGAACAUGUACAUAAACCGAUUAAAGUAUAAAAUAGGCAUACAGUUCCGGGAGGUUGACCAAGUUUAAAACCCUGACACAGAAUAAAAAACACUGUUUCCAUAUUUUAAAUUUCUGUCUGGUUUAUAGUGGUAAGGGCAAGGAGGACAGUUAACCUCCCUCUUUAGGGCAUAAUAUUUUCCAGAGCAUCAGCAUAAAGAAAAGUAAUGCGUUUGCUGCCUCAUUUUUGUGCUCCUGUACAAAACAGGCAGAGAGUAACAGUCAGUUCUUGUACAUGGUAAAGCCAGAAGGCAAACCUCCCUGAAGCUUAAAUAAGGUAAAUUACUGCAGAACAAAUGAAAGAGAAGAGAUGGUCCAGUACAGUGGCUCGUGCCUGUAAUCCUAGCACUUUGGGAGGCUGAGGCAAGUGGAUCUCUUGAGCUCAGGAGUUCAAGACCAGCCUGGCAACAUGGCAAAAAUCCAUCCCUACAAAGAAAAAAAAAAAAAAAGAGAGAGAGAGAAGAGAAAGUAGUAAACCUAAAGAAGCUUGUUACAAUAAUACCUGUAACAGGACAAAAUGAAAUUACUUCAAGAGAAAUUUGCUACAGAGGGCACAAUAAAUGGCAUUAAUGAAUGGAUGAUAAAAGAGAUGAUUAGGCCAUUUGAAUCAUCCAUAGCCAAAGAGAAUGGUGUUAAUGAAAGCAACCAUCAUGCUACUUGUCUCCAGAUAGGGAUCCUGUGAUAUCAGAUUAGAAGCACCUGGAAAGAAGCAAUUAUUUUAUAUAUGUAUAUAUAUUUAUAUAUAUUUUUUUCUUUUUAUAGAGAUGUGGUUUCAUCAUGUUGCCCACGCUGGUCUUGAACUCCUGAUCUCAAGAGAUCCACUCGCCUUGGCCUACCAAAGUGCUAGGAUUACAGGUAUGAGCCACUGUGCUCAGCCAAGAAGCAAUUCUGAUUUAUAAGCCUGAAUGAAUUGAUAGUUUUUUCAUUCUUUCAACAAAUAUUUACUGAUUAUAUAUUAUAUACCCAGCACUGUGCUAAGUUCUCAACAUACAGUAAUCACCAAUGCAGUCAUCAACAAACUUACCCUCAACGAGCUUACAGCCUAGUGACGUAGCCAGAUAUAAACAAAUCCUUAUCAGAAUUAUGUAUUUACAUGAUUAUAAACUGUGUUAAGUAUUCUGAAGAAAAAGCAAGACUAGGGGGAUCUAAUAUUCGAAAUGGAGGAAACAGCAUGUGCAAACACUCAGAGAUGGGAAAGAACUUGGUACAUUAGAAAAAAUGAAAGGAGUCCUGUUUGAUAGGAAUGCAUAGAAUGAUAGAGAAAAGAGGCCUGAAAUGAGAUUAAAGAGGUCAUCAGGGUCAGAGUAAAUAGGACCCUUUCCGACAUGAAGAUUUUGCACUUUAUUUAUGGUGACAUGGAAAACUAUUGACAGGUUUGAAGACAGGAGAGACAUGAUCUGAUAUACAUUUAUUUAAACAAUCGUUUUGGCUAUGGAAUGUGGUAGAUAGAUUAGAAAGGUGCAAGAAAGGAAGCAGCACGGUGGUGGUACUCUGGAGAGACUGCAGAGAGUCUAGUCCCCCCAUAACAUUUAUUAUACCCCCUCCCCACAUACACAUACUCAUUCCAUCCUAAAGUUCACCAGCUUCACUGACAUACACUCUGUUCAGUAGCACACGGCCUGCUCUCAGAAGAGCCCACACUUGGUGGAAUGCUCUGCUGAAGCUGUUUUGAAAUUCUCCAACAUUUCUGAACAGGCAGUCCUACAUUUUCAUUUUGCACUGGACUCCACAUAUUAUGUAGCCAGUCCUGCUCAUCAAACAUGUGAUCUAAGUAAAAGUAGCUUGUAAACUCUUACAGUACCUAUAUAUACUGUAGCUGCUAAUGUCAGGGGUACUUCAAAUGAAUGUUAAGAUUCAACCAUUCAUCUCAUCACACAUGGACCGCAACUGCAGGACACUUCCUUUUUUUUUUUUUUUUUUUUUGAGAUGGACUCUUGCUCUGUUGCCCAGGCUGGAGUGCAGUGGUGCCAUCUCGACCCACUGCAAGCUCUGCCUCCUGGGUUCACGCCAUUCUUUUGCCUCAGCCUCCUGAGUAGCUGGGACUACAGGUGCCCGCCACCACUCCUGGCUAAUUUUUUGUAUUUUUAGUAGAGACAGGGUUUCACCGUGUUAGCCAGGAUGAUCUCGAUCUGCUGACCUCAUGAUCCGCCCAACUUGGCCUCCCAAAGUGCUGCGAUUACAGGCGUGAGCCACCACACCUGGCCAGGACACUUUCUACGUCAUCUAUGAAGCCUUUUCUUUGCACCCCAAACACACACUCAAGGUAGAAAUGGUGUGUUUGCUAUACAAAUUUAAUUUUGAGACAGGUUCAAUAACCUGCUUACUGUCCUUAACUUUUACCUAUAUAGAAAGUUUGAAACCAUCGGUGAAGCUGGGAAAACAGUUAAGAACCUAUUGCAAUAAUAAAGGUAGAAGGUGAUAACGGCUCAAACUAGUGGGGUGGCAGUGAGGGUGGAGAGAAGCGGACAUAUUUGGGAAGUAGGAACAAUAGGACUGAGUGAUGAAUGUGGGGCUGAGAGGCAGCUGUCAAGGGUAAGAUUCAUUAAAUUUCUUGCUUAGGGAACUAAAUGGUUGAAAAUAUAGCAAUGGAUCAGGGAAUUUUCCACCACAGCUGCAUAGUCUCCUUUGUUAUGCUUUGGUAGAGACGAUCUGAAGAGGCCUCAGCCCUGCCUGGUGAUGUUUGCUCAAGUCUGACUCUCAUACUGCCUCCUUGAACUACUGUGGCUAACCACAGCAAGCACUUGAAAUGACUGUACAGAUCAAACCACUUACUCCGCAAUAGCCCACUAGGGGCAAUGGGCUGAUAAGCCUUGCUCACUGAUAAUUAGCUCUAUUUUGUCUUUUUUAAAAUUUUUUAUUUUAAUUUUUUGAACGGGAGUUUCACUCUUGUUGCCCAGGCUGGAGUGCAAUGGCGCGAUCUUGGCUCACUGCAACCUCUGCCUCCUGGGUUCAAGCAAUUCUCUUGCCUCAGCCUCCCAAGUAGCUGGGAUUACAGGCACCUGCCACCAUGCCCAGCUAAUUUUUGUGUUUUUAGUAGAGACAGGGUUUCACCAUGUUGGUCAGGCUGGUCUUGAACUCCUGACCUUAGGUGAUCCACCUGCCUCGGCCUCCCAAAGUGCUGGGAUUACAGGUGUGAGCCACCGCAUUCCAUCUAUUUCGUCUUCUAAAGCAAAAAAGAAAGGUAUCUGCCACAUACACAUCAUGAUAGUGUUACAUACCCUUCUUCCCUUCCUGCUCCCAUCAGCCUUCAGGAAAACAAAUCUGGGCUUGCUUUACUCUCUCUCUCUUUGGUGAAAGGUGAUGGUGGUUAUUGUAGGGGAUGGUCUGGCUUUCAGCCAACCUCAGUAAUCAGGCUGCCUUGUCAGGGCUUAUCAGUUUCAACAGGCUGGCAGCUGUUGGCUGAGAAGCAAAGCACAGCUUUAGUGUAUACAAAAUAUGUUCACAUGUAUAUACAAACACACAGUGCCUUUCUACAUGUACCUAGGAUAUGUUAAAAUCUCUGUGUGACAAAAUGGGCAUUUGCAAAUGGACUGGAAGUCUACUUAUGACAGUAACAGAUGAAAUAUGCCUAAAAGCAGAAUAGCAUUUGAUUCUAGGCUUAAAAACAAUAAACUUUGAUUUUAAAAAAUUAAAAUAAUUUAAAUGAGUACUUGCAAAUGAAAUAAAAGCCAAGACAUUUAAAAGGUAAAACAAGACCCCUUACCACUACAAAAUUAACUCAAAAUGGGUCAAAGUACUAAAGAGCUAAAACUAUGAAGGAAACCAGUAAAUCUUCAUCUCACCUUUAAUAUGGCAAUAAUUUUUUAGAUAUAACACUAAAAGCAUAGAAACAAACUAAAAAAGUGGACUUUAUCAAAAUUAAAAACUUUUUUGAGCCAAAGGACAUUAUCAAGAAAAUGAAGUCUGGGUGUGGAAGCUCAUGCCUCUAAUCCUAGUACCUUGGGAGGGCUAGGUGGGAGGAUUGCCUGAGGACAGGAGGUUAAGACCAGCCUGGGCAACAUCAUGAUACAACAUCUCUACAUAAAAAUAAAAUGAAAAAUAAAAUAAAAAUAGGAAAUAUUUGGGGGGGGGAAUAGGGCAUAACAAUUUUAAAAAGAAAAUGAAAAGACAACGUACAGAAUGGGAAAAUAUCUGCAAAUCAUAUAUCUGACAAGGACUAGUAUCCAGAAUAUAUAAAGAACUCUUACAACUCAACCUCAAAAAGACAAAGAAUCAAUUAAAAAAUGGGCAAAGGACUUGAAUAGACAUUUCUCCAAAGAAGAUUUAGCAAUGGCCAAUAAACACAUGAAAAGAUCCUCAACAUCAUUAGUCUUUAGGGAAAGGCAAAACAGGACCACAAUGAGAUAUCACUUCACACUAAGAUAGCUAUAACAAAACAUAAACAACAGGAAAACAAGAGUUGACAAAGAUGCAGAGAAAUCAGAACCCUAGUGCAUUGCUGGUGAAAAUGUAAAAUGAUGCAGCCACUGUGGAAAACAGUAGUAACAGAACUACUUAAUCCAGUAAUUCCAAUCCCAAGAAUAUAUCCCCAAAAUUGAAAACAGGUACUCAAAUACAUGUACAUGCAUGUUUGAAGCAGCACUAUUCACAAUGCCAAAAGGUGGAAACAACCCAUAUGUCCAUAUGGGUUGUUCCAGAUAAACAAAAUAUGGUAUAUACAUAUGAUAUGGUUUGGCUGUGUCCUCACCCAAAUUUCAUCUUGAAUUGUACCCCAUAAUUCCCACCUGUCAUGGGAGGGAUCCGGUGGAAGGUAAUUGAAUCAUGGGGGCGGGUCUUUCUCCUGCUGUUGUGGUGAUAGUGAAUAAGUUUUAUGAGAUUUGAUGGUAUAAAGGAGAGUUCUGCAUAAGCUCUCUUGUCUGCCGCUUUGCUCUCCUUGCCUUCCGCCAUGUGGAACUGUGAGUCAAUUAAACCUCUUCUCUUUAUAAAUUACCUAGUCUC
rnacentral:lncRNA from 1 species